rnacentral:lncRNA from 1 species
AGCAGAGAAAAUGGCAACCGAAACCUCAGUCGAUUAUGACAGAACCAAAGAGUUGACGCAAUUCGACGACACAAAAGCUGGUGUUAAAGGACUCGUCGACGCCGGAAUACUUAACAUCCCCAAGAUUUUCGUUCGACCAGCCGAGGACCUUGCCGCCGAAGAACUGAAUUCCGGCCACAAAAACGUCGAAGUUCCGAUCAUAGAUGUAAGCAACAUCGGAGACAGUAUCCGGCGACAGGAGAUCGUAAACGAAGUUAAGAUUGCAUCAGGGGAAUGGGGUUUCUUCCAAGUGAUAAACCAUGGGAUCCCAUUAAGUGUUUUGGAUGAAAUGAUUGAAGGGAUACGUUUGUUUAAUGAACAAGAUUUAGAGUUGAAGAAAGAGUUAUAUAGCCGUGACAGUGCAAAGAAAGUGAAAUUCCACUCAAAUUUUGAUCUUUAUACUUCAGAAACUGUUGAUUGGAGGGACACUUUGCAACUUACUUUCCUUGAUUCUGACCCUGACCCUUCUCAAAUGCCAUCCGUCUGCAGGUAACGAAGCACUAUCUUAGUUCGUUACUUCUUCGAAAGAAAUUUGUUGUAAAUUUGAGGCUUGUGGAUCCCUUUAACAUGUUCGAUAUUGUCAUGAGUGGAGGUUCUAUUUCCUGAUUUCAUUGAAAGCUGCGCAAGAUUCACGGAAUCAGAACAUUUCGUUGGAUCGAUCUAUGUACCACCAAAGAAAAUGGUUACCAUUUGUCGGGUAAAACUACCAUAGAGAAGUUUAUAUUAAGGGUUAAAUUGCAUUUUUCCUUCCAUACUAAAAAAAAAUAAAGAAAUUAGUCUUUAUAUAUUCGAUCAAAGAGUAAAUUGGUCUUUCUGAUAAAAAAUUUAACAGAAAAGAUCAAUUUAUUCUUUGAUAUAAUGUAUGGGAACUAAUUUACCCUUUUUUGAAUAGAAUAGGCAAAAAUGUAAUUUGAUUCCUAGUAAAGGAUCUCUAUAAUCCUUUUACUCCAUUUGUGGUUAGUAAGGUUUGAACUCACUCCUAAAGGAUGUAUAGAUAAAGUGGCAGCAUAUAUGUCUAUUGGUGCUAUUUAGGGCUUGAGUUCAAACUUUACUAUUGGCCAAUAACUAUAUUUUCUCGAUAAGCGCACAACUUAAUCUAACGAAAUGUUCUCAUUUUAUGAACCUCGUGCAUCUCUUAAAGGAGUUAAGAGCCAAAACUAUGGUCUUAACAUAUUGAAGGAUUUCUUUAAAAAAUUGAAAUUUUUUGAUAACUUUGAAAUGUGUAGUCUGCUUUAGAAUUGUGACCAAACCAAAACCACAAAAUUAAGGGUUGUUUAGCCGAUAUAGAACCAUAUUCAAUAGAAAAUUUUCAAAUUUACAUUGGGUAUUUUUUGCUUGUUUAAAUUUGUAGAAAAUCAACAAUGGAGUAUUUUAAACAUAUGAAAAAAUUGGGAGAAACAUUGUUCGAGUUACUAUCGGAAGCACUCGGUCUUCAAGCAGACCACCUUAACUCACUGGGAUAUAGUAAAGGGUGUAGCAUAGUGACCCACUACUAUCCACCUUGCCCUCAACCUGAACUCACUUUAGGAGUAAGGAAACAUGCAGACGCUGGCAUAUUAACAAUGCUUCUACAGAACCAUAUUGGCGGCCUCCAAGUCCUUCACAAUGGUCAAUGGUUCGACAUCCACCCCACUCGAGGUGGUUUGGUCAUAAACAUUGGCGAUCUUCUUCAAGUUAGCUUCAAUUCACAUCAAAUCUAUAUGAAUCUGUCCUAAUAGACUAGCUACUGACUCUUUUUAUGUUGUUUAUGGUAGGUUUUAUCAAAUGAUAAGUUCAAGAGUGUGAAACACAGAGCAAUUUCCAAUCAUAUCGGACCUAGAAUUUCAGUGGCAUGUUUUUUCUCAGGACAUGCUAGCUUGCUUGACAAGCCAUUUGGACCAAUCAAAAAGCUGAUAUCAGAGGCAAAUCCUCCUCAUUAUGAAGAGUUUUUGUUAAAGGAAUAUUUUGCCAAGUUUUUUUCAAGCUCACUUGAUUCCAAGCCCCCUAUAGAUUACUACAAGCUGUGAAGCUAUAAACUAUCAAUUUGGCAUUAGAAUACCAAACUGAGUAGAACUUUUUUUGUGUGUGUGUGUUUUAGUUUGUAUUACAAACUUAGUAACUAUUGUGUAGUGUAUUUUUUUUUUUGUAUAAUAAAGCGUAUUUAAAAUAUUUUAUAUUUUACAUAAAUAUUGAUAUAUAAAUAAUCUGAAUUAUAUUGGUUACAAGAAAUACAUAUAUUCAUAUUGUUUUCUCUUAUUACAUUGUAUUUUUUUCCCACAUUAUUUAAUCUUAAAAACAUGGCUAUGUCCUUAAAUAUCUAAAAAAAACAUGACUAUCGUUUCAAGUCUAGUCUAGACCAUUGUGAUCUUCCUUUUAAGUCUACCUAUGACAAAGAUUUCAUCGGCAAAAGUAUCACAAAUGCUUUUAUAAUAUAAAUUGAAUUGCAUUUUAUCAUCUUUAAUAUUUUUGCUAUGUUACAUAACAUGUAUAAUUUAAUUAAAAAAUUAAGUUUCAGUCAUUGUGGUUCACAUAUCACCUUUUAAUAAAAUUAAUUAUAUAAUAAAUUAUAUAUAUUUUUAAAUCCUACUUUUUCCAACUACUACCUCAACAACAAAUAAAUACAUAAUAGAUUAUUUUUAAAAAUUUUAAGGUAUAUUCCAUAUAAGUUCACUAAAUUAUUAACUAUUAAUAAAUUUUUGUUUUGAUCACUCAACCUCAAAAAAUUAUAAAAUGGUCAUUAUACUAUUAAAAAUUUUUCAUUUAAGUCAUUAGGGUAUGGUCUUUUCUCUUCGCACUGUGUGCACCAAUCGAAAGUUUUUUUUUCUUUUCUUCUACAAUUUAAUUUUUCUCAUGAAACAGCUUUAAACGUCAUAAUCUGUAAAUCAAAAUUUAAACAAUUUUGUUCUCUAAUCUUCGACAUUGACCAUCAAAUCAAUUUAGAUAUAAGGUAUGUCCUACUCGUCAAUGAGUAUUAAUUUACUAUACUAAUUGUCGAAUCAUUACUUGAAACAGAUUUUUAAAAAAAUCAAAAAUAAUUUAAAUAAAAACUUUCGACUAGUUCAAAAUAAAAAGAUAAACUCACCAAUGAUCUAUAAGUAAAUUAACCUUUUAAUUUGUAUGUUUUUUUAGUAAUAUAUUAAAUUAAAUCAGACUAAAUUGAUUCAACUAAAAGUCGGGCUUUUAAUUCAUUCAACCACUUGUGGAGAUUUUAAAAGAAAAAGGCAAUUCAAUUAGCAGAGAAAAUGGCAACCGAAACCUCAGUGGAUUACGAUAGAACCAAAGAGUUGAAGCAAUUCGACGACACAAAAGCUGGUGUUAAAGGACUCGUCGACGCCGGAAUACUUAACAUCCCCAAGAUUUUCGUUCGACCAUCCGAGGACCUUGCCGCCGACGAACUGAAUUCCAGUCAGAAAACCAUUGAAGUCCCGAUCAUAGAUGUAAGCAACAUCGGAGACAGUAUCCGGCGAAAGGAGAUCGUAAACGAAGUUAAGAUUGCAUCAGGGGAAUGGGGUUUCUUCCAAGUGAUAAA